rnacentral:lncRNA from 1 species
UUUCACCAUUAAUUUUUGCGUCUGGGAUUUUAGAACUAUUUCAUAUAAACUCUGUGUUUCAUAUAGGCUUAACCUGGCACGACAUUUUGAUAACCGCGCAAAUCUCUCAGACAUGGUAAAUUGUAUCAAUAUAUUCACGUGUAAUUACCUCCCAAAAUGAAAUGCCAAUGGGACUUUCAUAAAGAACUACACAUCUUGUCGCAAAGUAUGACGUCAUCCCUCAAGGCACAUUUCUCCACGCAAACUCCUCGACAAGUAGCCUAGCAAGAAACAGAUAAUAUAGGCGUUUCAGUUUCUCGUGUGUAUAUCAUUUUUAUUUAUUUAUUGCAUAGCUUGCUACCUUAGCGUCUUUAAAUUAUUAUAAUUUAUUAAGUUACCCUCUGCCUUUGUAGAUAACUAGCUUAGGUCUCUCCGUCGACCAGAAGCAAGGAUGGUUCUGUGCUAUGUAACAUUACCGGAUUGUAACCACUACUCCAAUAAGCACAUGUUCAUGUUAUCGUUUUCCAACCUCUAAGUGAGAGGCAUCGCUAGAGCUGUGUGAUAAGAUGGACGGACCGGAAACAACACUCACGUCUGUAGCUGCCAUUUUCCAGUGGGAAAGAGAGAUGGCUCUGUAUUUACCAGAGUAGGUAGUUCAUCCAUCAUGGUGGAUGAGGAAGAUCCAUCAUGGUGGAUGAGGAAGAUCCAGACUGGGGAUUGGGAAUCAUAAACAAACCAAUAGGAUUGAGUGGUGAGUGCAAUAAACAAUGCUUUUUUUCUUUCCAGAUAAAGAUGGUGAUGCAGCAUUGGAAAAAUACCUACCACUGACCAAAUGUCUCUUUGUUUUCCAGUCCAACAGGAGUGAAUCCCUCAGGCUACCCGGUGCAUGGACAUCCUGUGGCAGUGUGAUCCGGUUGUGGAGACGACAGCAGAUCGAGCCUGUGGACAGACAGACAGGAGGCGUGACAUGUGAAACAUCAGGCGCUCAUCAUGAGAAGCAGUGCAUGAUCAACACCAGCCUCAGCAAGGAGAUCUUGUCACAGCUGUUGAAGGAUGAGGACCAAGGUAGACUGGUAUCAGGCUAUAGCGGCAGCUGCCACGGAUGCGUGGAGAAACAUCUGUUCCUCAACAUGUCUGUCUUCCGCACACCAAGAUUCCUCCUGGUGCCACAGGCCCUCAGCGUGUCACUGUACAAGGGAGAGGAUCAAGCUACGAGGCCAAAUGCAGGCUAGUGCUGUCCCAGUUGGUUAAGCCAGAACCAGAGCCCAGAUACCUCACUGUGCUGGCAGAGAACUGACUUAAACCGGGUCAUAACUAUGGACUGGUGCUGGAACUGCAGUCACAUCCAGGCCACGCACUGACCACGGACACCUUCAUAUCCCACCACCCGGGGGAAGGCUGUCCCGUUCCAGUUGAGGGUUACCUGCCCACUGUCAUUAUUGUAUAUAAUUAUCCAGCAAACCUGUUCAGCUCAGCUGCUGGUAAUCAUGAGGGAGCAGUUGGCAAAAUGGAAGAGCUUCACUGGUCGCUGUAUCCCUAAUUAUAAAUAAACUAUUUACUAAUCCAUUACAAAUUCUUUAGUGUGAUACCCACUCUCUAUAUUCACAGCAUCUGAGAGAGCUGCUCUUAAGUGAUCCCUGACCUGUCAGCAGUGAUGUAGUGUUGAAGUGUCUUGCACUGUAGUUUUAAAUAAUUAACGCCUAUAAUGUAGUAGUUAUUUAUAAAUGUGAAAAUAUCUUGAGUAAAAUUCCACAAAUGUGUAAUUAAUAAUAAAUGGUUAACACUAUAAAUGCCUUACAAAUGGUUUAUAACUGAACAUUAUAAAGUGUUACCAAUAAUUGCAUAUUCUUACAUUUUACCAUCAACUACUUACACAAUUUAGUUAGACCUGGACGUUAUCUGAUAUCUUGCAGUAUUGUUCAUUUCAACUUCACUACACUUGUUGCAGGCGUUGUGUCCAAAUUACACCACUAGAGGGUGAUGUUAGACAACACAGAAUGACUCAUGACAUUCUUGAAAUGAACUUUUAGAAUACUUACAUACUAUUUAUAAUUUUGGUAUUUAUUAGGAUCCCCAUUAUCCACUGCAAAAGCAUCAGCUAAUCUUCCUGUAGUCCACAUUAAAUACCAUGCGACAUCAACAGGCUUUGAUAUUUGGAAAAUACAACCCAAAAAUUACUACAAUGUAUUUUAUAAAACAAGCUUAUACCUUCUCCAAGUCAUUCCAAUCCAAUCCAGACAAAACAUUCUGUAUCAACACCACUUGUAUCUAUGAUGACAACACUGAGAUAAGUAGUGUCAGUGUAUUGUUACAUGAAAGACGAAAUUACAACAAUUCUAUAACAUAACUAACUACUAUAACAUACUAACUAACUACUAACAAACCUACGUUUGUCAAAU